AUUGAACGCUGGCGGCAGGCCUAACACAUGCAAGUCGAGCGGAUGAAGGGAGCUUGCUCCUGGAUUCAGCGGCGGACGGGUGAGUAAUGCCUAGGAAUCUGCCUGGUAGUGGGGGAUAACGUCUGGAAACGGGCGCUAAUACCGCAUAAGUCCUGAGGGAGAAAGUGGGGGAUCUUCGGACCUCACGCUAUCAGAUGAGCCUAGGUCGGAUUAGCUAGUUGGUGGGGUAAAGGCCUACCAAGGCGACGAUCCGUAACUGGUCUGAGAGGAUGAUCAGUCACCCUGGAACUCAGACACAGUCCAGACUCCUACAGGAGGCAGCAGUGGGGAAUAUUGGACAAUGGGCGAAAGCCUGAUCCAGCCAUGCCGCGUGUGUGAAGAAGGUCUUCGGAUUGUAAAGCACUUUAAGUGGGGAGGAAGGGCAGUAAGUUAAUACCUUGCUGUAUUGACGUUACCGACAGAAUAAGCACCAGCUAACUUCGUG
rnacentral:rRNA from 1 species